UACGUAGGCAGCAAGCGUUGUUCGGAGUUACUGGGCGUAAAGGGCGCGUAGGCGGCUCUGCACGUCCGUUGUGAAAUCGCCCGGCUCAACUGGGCGGGGUCAGCGGAUACGGCGGAGCUUGAGCAAGCUAGGGGGCAAUGGAAUUCCCGGUGUAGUGGUGGAAUGCGUAGAUAUCGGGAGGAACACCAGUGGCGAAGGCGGUUGCCUGGGGCUUUGCUGACGCUGAUGCGCGAAAGCGUGGGGAGCGAGUCCGG
rnacentral:rRNA from 1 species